rnacentral:rRNA from 1 species
AGCUCCAAUAGCGUAUAUUAAAGUUGUUGCAGUUAAAAAGCUCGUAGUUGGAUUUCUGGUUCAGAGAACCUGGCCCGUCUCCAAAUUUCGGAAGAUGGGUGCCGGAGUUUUCGUACCAUCCUUCCGGUGAUUUCUGUUGGUGCCCUUGAUUGGGUUGCUAACGUGCUCCGGAUCUUUUACUUUGAAAAAAUUAGAGUGUUUAAAGCAAGCAGUGUGUUGAAUACAUUAGCAUGGAAUAAUAAUCUAGGACUUUGGUUCUAUUUUGUUGGUUUCUAGCGCCAAAGUAAUGAUUGAUAGGGAUAGUUGGGGGUGCUAGUAUUUACAGGCCAGAGGUGAAAUUCUUGGAUUCUGUAAAGACUAACUUAUGCGAAAGCAUUCACCAAGGAUGUCUUCUUUA